rnacentral:lncRNA from 1 species
UCUCCCCCUCCCCCCUUUAUCCCCCCCCACAUCCCCCUCCCCUCCCCCCUCCAUCCCCCCCCUCUAUCCCCCCUCCCCCCUCUCUCCCCCUCCCUCCCCUCCCGCUACCUUCCUCUCGGCUCCUCUGGGGUCUCCUCAGCGGAGGGGGGAGGGGCAGGGGGGGGGGGAGGGGGCGUCCGAACCUCCCUCCCCUCCCCCCCCCCACCCCCACCCCCACAACGAGGCCUACGCGGGGGGGGCUCACGGGGGGCGUCGGCCCAUGGUGGUGCCUAUGCGCCUGCGCACACCGGGGUCAACCGGGGGUCAUCAGGGGUCAAUCCGGGGUCAUCCGGGGGUCACGGGGGGCACCGGGACCCCCCCCCCCCUCCCCCAUCCUCUCCCUACCGGCCGCUCCCGCCUCCCGCCGCUCCAUGGUGAUGACGCACUUCCGGGUAGGCGCGCGCAGGGCCGGAAGUGGCGCUGCCCCCUGGCGGCGGGGGGGAGUCGCGGCGUGAGGGGUGUGCGUGGUGACGUCAACGCGUGGCCACGCCCACCACGUACGUCACGGUAUAAAAGAGGGGGGGACUUCCGGUUGUGGCCAGUCGUGUUCCUGUAGGCCUCGGGGAAGCGUCCGCGGUCAUGUGACCGGAUGCUCAACUUCCGGUUCCGCCUCUUCCGGUUCUAUGGGGACCGGUGCAGGGGGGAGGGGUAAUGAAAAGGAGGAGCCGGGAUUCGAACACGUGGCUCUGUGAGCGCCGCCAUCUUGGGUGUGGGCUCCGUUGGCCGCCAUCUUGGGAAGGGGCAGUGGAGCGGCCGCCAUCUUGGGUGUGGGCUCCCUCGGCCGCCAUCUUGGGAAGGUCACAGGGGCGCCGCCAUCUUGAGGAGGGACCGUGUCCGCCGCCAUCUUGGAACGGUGACGCCUGGGAGCCGCCAUCUUUGAUAGCGUGUUCCUGGAGGCAGCCAUAUUGGAAAGGGCACGUUAAAGGGGCGUGGCUUAGACCGGAAGGGGCGUGUCCAACGGCCGCGAUGAAGCCAACGGAGCCUGCGCUACCGGAGGGGAUCCUACGGAGGGGGGGGUCACGUGAUGGGGGCUCCCGGCAGGUGCGGUUCGCAGUGGUGGAGGCCGGACCGGACCAUGAUGCUGAGCGGGGGGGGGGCCCAUUGGCGACCCCCGUCCGGAACAGCUCCAUGAGGGCGGCCGCGCAUGCGCGGGAGGGGCCGGAGCCGUUCGACGCCCCCCGCGCAUGCGCGGAGCUGCUGGGGACCUCGUUCGCUGCGCGCUGCGCGGUGGGGGGGGCGGCGGGGGGAGCCAUGAACGUCCCCCCCUCCCACCGCCUCUAUCGUGGCCUCAUCAGCCUCUCCGUGCCCCCCCCCCGUGGGGCCCAGGAGGGGGGCUCUGCCCCAUAGCACACCCCAUAAGGUUCCGGGUCCUACCAUUGCCACCCCAAGGGGGGGGGAGGAGGAGCCUUGGCUGCCCCCCCCCUCCCCCAUCGCCCCCCCCCGGCCCCUCCCCCGCCCCCCCGGAGCUGCCUUCGUCAUGUACCGGAAGCUGCAGCAGUGGGGGGGGGGCUGAGGGGGGGUCACCCCCUGCCCCUCCCCCCCCCCUUCCCCCCCCCCCCCCCCUAUACACCCCUCCCCCCCC